AAAGAAGAAGAAUAAGAUCUAGAGCUGAUUUGCAACCCGCCGAAGCAGAUCUGGAGAAGAAGGAAAAUGUCUCCUGUCUCCACACGCACCGUUCUAGGAUCAGCUGGCCGUUAGGAAAACGCAAACAGCAAAGUGGUGAGUCGGAAAACCCUCACUAGUUGCACUGCAGUGAAGGUUAGCGCGAAAAUGUUGUGCAACCAGUUCUGAGUGUGUUGUAUCAUAAUUUCGUUUGGGCCUUAUGAAAGGCGCUACCUUCCCCCUUUGAGGCCUAGCCAGCCCUGUUUAGGUUUAGACGAAAAUAGCGAAUAUUAACGGUUUACUUUUCACUAAACAGAAUUGCGACUGUGGUUCAGGAAGCAGGUGUCCUUGCCAAAUAGAAGAUACCUAGCUUGCUAGCGACGUCCGGCCCGGAGCGCCUCCGGUGUGCGCGUGGGUGACCAACAGAGGACUUUACCCAUAACUGACCUUAGAGCAGUGUGUAAGCUCAUUCUCAUCCUACCCCGGACGUUGCAAACAAAUAUAGAAAGGUUCAGGAGAAACUCUUCCUCACUCCAAAACAGUCACCCAGGAAUUGAAGAGGAAGUGACAUCAGAGCAGAUGGAAUCAAAUCAGAGCCUGGCGGGGGUGGACUCCCAGGGCAACAUGGUGUUCAGAGUGGUUAAACCUGUCAUGGGCAUCUUCCAAGUCUCCUCAGAACAGACCAACUCUGUCGGACAGGGGGGGUCGCAGCAGAUGAUGGUUGGGGGGCUGACGGGGUUACAAGGGUUAUCCAACCUCCCCUCCAUGGUGCUGGGGGAUGGACAGGGUCAGGGCCAGCAGCAAAUGGGGGACGUGAACCAGAUGCAAGCCCAGAUUCAGAUCCCAGCAGAGGACAUGUCCCAAACCCAGGUUGCCGCUCCGAACCACAACCACGUACCCCAUGUUCCGUUUGCAGAGGUGUCGUCUCUCUUGGACCCCAACAUGAAGAGUUCCAAGGCCCGCAAGUACCUGAUACCCUAUGACGAGAUCAAGCGUCGUCUGGAGGCUCCAGAGAAGAUGUCUCUGCGUUCACUAGCAGCCUACACCAGGGUCAGCCGUGGCCCGGCCAGCAAGAAAACCCUGCAGGAGUCUCUAAAUAUACUGGGUCUUACUCCUGGUACUACUACUUCUGUGUCUUCUUCCUUUUCCAAGCUCACAGAGGGUGACACCAAAGCCCUGUGUAACGACAUGAAGGACUUUGCCCAUGACUACAUAGACUUUGGCAACAUGGCCAAGCAGCUUAUUCCAGAGACCAACACUGUCCAACACUGGUCCAAGGUCAUAGAAACCAGGAGCCACCUGGAGGCGAUGAGGAAGUGUUUUCGUGACCCGGUCAACAGUGCGUCGUUCGACAACGUGACUCAUGGGUUGGGCCUCGGGAUGCUCGACGCCGCCCUCGACAUGAUUACCAUGGUGAUCGACAAACAAAUUCGCAUCCUGUCUGGCGCUGCGGCAACCGAUCCCGUCGACACCGGCCCUCCAAUGAGACGCAUCCGCCGCCGCCACCGCAAGCCCCGAGACAACGGCAACGACAAAUUGCACGGGUCGCUGGGCGGGGUUAAAGGUCAAGAGAAAGGGCCAGGGAAGGGCAAAGGGAGGGGCAGAGGCAGGAAGAAGAUGCGGCUGCAGGAGUCUGGAGCUCCGGUUGGUGUUGCCAUGGAUACAACCCAGCAGCAUGAUCAAGAGCAUUGUCAGCCGGAGGAUGUGGAGAGCAGUGUUCUCACACUCGUCUCUGUUGGUUACGAGACCAUCUCCAGCGGCCUCAAUGCCACAGGACAGAUCUGAAGAUGUUUAACGGUUGAACAAACAAUGCUUAACAGGGGAAUCGGACUUUGCUUAAUAUUUUCCCAUGGGGAAGCUGGGAGCGGAACUGUCUUAGUAACUUUGUGGAACAUUGUGGAACGUUGUGAUGUUUAGACGCAACUCUGCUUUGGCCCACAGAACCCCAAACACUGAGAGGGAGGCAUUCAGUGACCUCACAGCAUUCUGGUUUAGAGUUUUGUUUUUGAAUGUUGCAGCUCUUGCCUACUGAUAAAUUCAAUCAAUUGAAUUUAGUUUUUUGUUGUCAGUUAGCACAGAGGUGAAGAACGCAGCUCUGUUCAAGUGGAAUUCAAGUCAAUCCAAAGAUAACCUGAUUAUAUUGAAAAACCUACAAUGUAGAAAUGAGUCUUAAUUCUGGUCUUUGGGUUAAGGCAGUCCAUUCAUUCCACCUACUCAUCUGGUAUUUGAUAGCCCCGUUUAUUUAUAUCAUGAGUGGACUAGUUAUAGCCCUCUCUCAAUCUCCAUGAUUGUAACAUAGGGAACACAUCAUGCCAGUACUUUGUCAAUGAUUGUAUGUUUAUAUUGAAACCUGGAUUGCUGAAAUAUUGUAUUAAAGCUUUCAUUUUAUUAAUUCACCUCCAUGAUGUUCUUUAUUUCUGACAGAAUCAAUGGCACAGCAUCUGAUCUGUUUCACUGAGGGAGUUUGACUAAGCUGAACCGGGGUGGCCUGUGACGUGACCGGGAAAAAGCGAUAAAUUGAAUAGUAAUCUGUGCCGCCCGGUCAACAAGGCAGCAUCAUUCAGAAACAUGGUGCAUCUUUUCAAAUUCAUUUUCUUUGAGAAGGCAGAUAAAGUACAUCAUGUGUUUUAUCACGAGAGCAAAAAUGUUUUUCACGUGAUACCUUGGAACCUUCAUAACUGCACGUGCUUGACAUACGGGCCAGCCGGUGUUAUGAUACUGGUGGAUUGUACGGUUGUGGCUACCAGUACUGCUCCAUCUUGGGGCGGCAGGGUAGCCUAGUGGUUAGAGGGUUGGACUAGUAACCGAAAGGUUGCAAGUUCGGAUCCCCGAGCUGACAAGGUACAAAUCUGUCAUUCUGCCCCUGAACAGGCAGUUAACCCACUGUUCCUAGGCUGUCAUGGGAAAUAAGAAUUUGUUCUUAA
ensembl:lncRNA